rnacentral:rRNA from 1 species
UGGGGAAUAUUGCACAAUGGGCGCAAGCCUGAUGCAGCCAUGCCGCGUGUAUGAAGAAGGCCUUCGGGUUGUAAAGUACUUUCAGUCGGGAGGAAGGUGGUAAGGUUAAUAACCUUAUCAAUUGACGUUACCGACAGAAGAAGCACCGGCUAACUCCGUGCCAGCAGCCGCGGUAAUACGGAGGGUGCAAGCGUUAAUCGGAAUUACUGGGCGUAAAGCGCACGCAGGCGGUUGAUUGAGUCAGAUGUGAAAUCCCCGGGCUUAACCCGGGAAUUGCAUCUGAUACUGGUCAGCUAGAGUAUUGUAGAGGGGGGUAGAAUUCCAUGUGUAGCGGUGAAAUGCGUAGAGAUGUGGAGGAAUACCGGUGGCGAAGGCGGCCCCAUGGACAAAGACUGACGCUCAGGUGCGAAAGCGUGGGGAGCAAACAGG